ensembl:lncRNA
UUUUUUUUUUUUUUUUUUUUUUUUUUUUUAGUAAAUCUAGUCACAUCCAUCCGGAGCAGCCGGGCUAUUUCUCUAGCCGGAAAUUCUCUUACUCACCUAAGCGUUAUUACCACCCAGCAUUCCGGAGUUCCUUAUUAUUUGUCGGAUUUCGAUUCGGCACACUGCACGUCUGCAGGCGCUGGUUUGUGCUCCUUCUUUGGGCACGGUGUAUAUACAACUCCGGGAGCAUUUCAACUGCUUUUCUUAAAGCUGAAUUCUUUAUAAAGGAGAAGUGACUAGAAACCCUGAGCUGGGUCCCAGGUCUUGCCUUAACUUUGUAAGGCACACUGACACACUGAGGCUGCUCCACUUAAGGUAUGGUAUGAACCAGGAGCUGAUCCCGUGGCUGUGGAAUGAGUGUUCACAUGGAGUCAUCCUGCUGUAGCUAUUGCAGCUGCUGUGUAAGCAAGUCCUAACGGACAGUCCUUGUUCCAGUGACUGUGUGACAGAUAAGACAGACAAUGGGCACAAGGAAGGCACCGCUAUCAAUGAAGGACGGAUACUGUUCAACCUGAAGGGAACAAAGAAACCUGGGCUGCUCAAGACCCCACAGAACUGUCCAGGAGUGUCCUUUGUGCCAGCUGAUUCCAGGAAUGUGACACUUUUCGAACUGUUUGUGUCAGGACUUCCUGCUUUGACACCUUUCAUUUCUGAGACUGCCUCAUCAGUCAAACCCCAGAUCUGCUGCUCCUCUCCACAAGGACUUCUGUAUGCAGCAACUCUCUGUCCUCUUUGGAUACUGAAAUGAGAUGAAAGGGCUUGAAUGUUUCUUAGCAAGAUGGAUGGAUGGAAUUAGCUUAAUCUGUUCUGAUUUUGACACCUACAAGUCAACUGACCCAAUCACCUCUUCUUCUAACAGGCUGCAAAGCAACACUCUACUAAUGUGGAAUAUUCUUUGUGAUGGAAACAGAAGCAUCAGGAAUGGGGGUUUGUAGCUUUUUUGGAAGAGUUUCUGUUACAAUUUUUAUCUUUAAUAUCAACACUUUAAAUAAGGAUAUUUAUAUGUUAAAAUAAAAACAUUUUUUGCCCUGAAAUACUGGAAUACGCCUCCCCAGCCUCUUCCUACCUCAGCUCUGCCACUGUGAAGAGAACCCAUCCAUGGAUUUUAAAGUCAGGACAAGUCAGAACUUCUAACAGAGGAUGAGCACAGAACAACUGCAGUUCAUCCUGCAGCCCAGACCCCAAUGAAUGGAUCUUUUUCUUAUGUGCUGUGGGAACUGCCUAUAGAAAUAUCUAAGAAACUGAUCCAGGGUUUUAUAACCUUGUGUCUUGUCCCUUGUGGCAAGCUGCAAGUUGCCUUCUUAUCCUGGCCUCCAUGGACAAAGCCCUCCAUGUGUGUGAAAUAGGAGAGCACCGUGGUUUGGUGGUGGUUUUGUCAGAUCUGUUCCCAAACAGCUCUCCCAGCUGCCACACUGCCUGUCAGAGGAGGGUUGGUGCAGCAGAGGUCUGUAGGGUCACUUGGGUUCACAUGCAGGAUCCCUUGUGCACAUCCUGCAGUGGGAUCCAGCCCUGCUGAUGCCUCUUUAACACUUGAGGACAUUGUCAGCAAACCAAAGUGCAUUUCUUAGUGCCCACACCAAGCCACUUCAAGAACAAAUCUGACUAGACUGAAUUAUUUUUAUUUUUAAAGUUCAGUGCCACUUAACACCGCCAAUUUAGCUUAAAAAAAAAAAAAAAAAGCAGAAAUACCUAAAAUAAAAGUGUUUUGAAAA